AAGGAAUUGAUUGUCCUAUACACAAAAAAUUUAUUUUUGAGAUCUUUUGUUCGUACUUAACAAGCUGAAGGAAAAACUUUAUGCUUAUCUUGCUUGCCAGAGGCUGAAUUCUGAAGUUUUUUCUUGCCUUGGUUUGUAGGAAGUUAGGUGCUUACCAUUGGAAAUCUGGGCAGGCAGGACCAAGGACCCCCCAGACCCGAGCUGUGACCCAAAAUAAUGAAAACAGGAAGAAGCUUUCUCCAGAAAAAGUGAAGUUGCAAGUGCUCAAGAAACCAAUUCAAGAGCCAGCGAAAAAAGCAGUCAAACCUGAAAAAGGAAA
rnacentral:lncRNA from 1 species